GUGAAAAAUUACAAAAAAUGGACAAUGCUUGGGUGGAAUAUCAAUUGAUACGCUGUGUCAUCUUCUCUAUCACAAUUCACAAUCCCCUGCAGAUAUUUCCUAUUUCAGUUCCCGCGCCCCGUCCCCCACACGCAGUCACACAGAAUGGCAGCGGCAGUGAAUUGCUACCUCUCAGUGACUUCAACAGCCACACCCACAUCUCAAGAUUCUCCACAGCCAGCAAUCACGAGGCCGCCGACCAAGAUCAUACUGCCCAAGAAAAAGCCUAUGAAAUGGUCUACAGGGGUGGCUCCGGGUGAGUAUGGGGGCCCACCCACCACAACGAAGCUCAGGAAAUACUGGGGUGGAGAUGAGGACCCUCUUGCCUCUGAUGAAUACUUGUGGAACAAAGACUUCAUGGGUCGAAUGAAAAAGUUCAUUCAAGACCCCGUCGAUGUCGACACUAAUUCUGACCCUCGAUUCUCAUCUGCGAAGGUCCAGUAUUUGGCCAAUUGAUUAUUUUUGGUUUGUCAUUAUCUGGGUUUUUUUGAGUGAUUUAUAUUGUGGGUUUUAUUUUUGCUGUUGCUUUUGUAUGAGAAAUUAGUAAAAAUGGGGAAUUUUUAGCGCUCAUUGAGAUUAAUUGUUUUGGAAUUUGGAACUUGGAUAAUACUGCUUGUUGAACAUUGUAUAGGGAUGUCUAGUGUCAUUUUUUUCCCCUUCUUUUCAGAGAGAAUUUCUAGAAUGUUCUGCUUGUCUAAUUAAUUGACUGUUCUACGAAGUACUGCUGAUCUAAUUUUUUGGUUUCAUUCCGAAACUGUUUGUUCUGAUUUUACCACAGAUUGAAUUUUUAUUGCUUUUAGUUGAUAAAUAUAUUGUCCAGGUAUCAGCACUGAAUUUGGUAAAUUAUACUGUUUUGGUAUGUUUCUGAACAGGAAGAGCCUUGUGGAUUUCUUAGCUUGAACAGAGUGAUGAGCUUGGACAGGUACACAACCUUUUAUUUUUGGAAAUUGUUAUUUUAUUUUGUCUUGAAUUCCUAUACUGCUUUCCCGUGUAAUAGUCCCACUCUUUGAGGAUGCAGUUUGGAAAUUGACUUGAGCAAAGAGUUAACAGCGACUUCAAGAUCUGCGGUUGAACCACGAGUUGAAGAAAUUCAAGUGUGACAGAUUUUAAGUUCCCUUUGAAAAAAUGGUCUGUAAAACUAGUUUGCAUUUGUUAUUUUCCAUACUCAUCAGGAUUGAAAUGAUUUGUAGAGUAAUAGCAUUGCUUCUCGAAAAUGGAGACCAGCCCCAACACGACGUGAGCUAGAGAAGUGGGACAGAGCUACUAAAGCUGCAACUGGAGGCAGUGUGUGUAGUUUCAUUUUGGACAUGCAAUUUUCUUCUCAUCUUAUAUGCUUAAACUUCUGUUUGCUUAAAACAAAUUGCUGAUUUUCGAGCUGAAUAUAUAUAUAUAUAUAUAUAUAUAUAUAUAUAUAUAUAUAUAUAUAUAUAUAUAUAUAUAUAUAUAUAUAUAUAUAUAUAUUGUAUUUUUUAAGAAUCC
rnacentral:lncRNA from 1 species